rnacentral:rRNA from 1 species
CCGGACCGGCGCACAGGUGAGUAACACGUAUGCAACCUGCCCUCUUCAGGGGGACAACCUUCCGAAAGGGAGGCUAAUCCCGCGUAUAUCGGUUUCGGGCAUCCGAGAUCGAGGAAAGAUUCAUCGGAAGAGGAUGGGCAUGCGGCGCAUUAGCUAGACGGCGGGGUAACGGCCCACCGUGGCGACGAUGCGUAGGGGUUCUGAGAGGAAGGUCCCCCACACUGGUACUGAGACACGGACCAGACUCCUACGGAAGGCAGCAG